rnacentral:rRNA from 1 species
AGCAUUGCUUCUGCCGGGUGAACCGUGGUGCAUUUGCAGGUGGAGUGCGCCGAGGCGCCUGAGUCAGCGGCAUGAGCUUGGUUCUGAGGCCAGCCUUGCAAAAGGUCUGGUACCCGUGCUGGGGGAGUGCUGUUUGACUUGGGUGUGGUAUGAGGCAAUGGUUUCGGGCUCGUGUGGGUGCCGAGCUGGCAGUCGGUGGCGGUCGCAUGCGACACGUGCCAGCGGUCAGUUCGGUCCUGCUCGAGCUCUCACAGCCCGUCCUCGGUGUAAAAGGCAGUCAUCUGUCCGACCCGUCUUGAAACACGGACCAAGGAGUUUAGCGUGUGCGCGAGUCAUUGGGUGUUGAAAACCCAAAGGCGCAAUGAAAGUGAAGGUGUCCCUUGUGGAACUGAUGUGUGAUCCUGGUCACCUCGGUGCAUCCGGGCGCAACAUAGUCCCGUCCUGACCGCUUGCGGUGGGGCGGAGACAGAGCGUACGCGCUGAGACCCGAAAGAUGGUGAACUAUUCCUGAGCAGGAUGAAGCCAGAGGAAACUCUGGUGGAAGUCCGAAGCGAUUCUGACGUGCAAAUCGAUCGUCUGAC